rnacentral:tRNA from 1 species
GGUCAUAUAGCUCAGCGGUAGAGCGCUACGUUGACAUCGUAGAGGUCACAGGUUCGAUCCCUGUUGUGACCACCA